rnacentral:rRNA from 1 species
GAUGAACGCUGGCGGCGUGCCUAAUACAUGCAAGUCGAGCGAACAGACGAGGAGCUUGCUCCUCUGACGUUAGCGGCGGACGGGUGAGUAACACGUGGAUAACCUACCUAUAAGACUGGGAUAACUUCGGGAAACCGGAGCUAAUACCGGAUAAUAUAUUGAACCGCAUGGUUCAAUAGUGAAAGACGGUUUUGCUGUCACUUAUAGAUGGAUCCGCGCCGCAUUAGCUAGUUGGUAAGGUAACGGCUUACCAAGGCAACGAUGCGUAGCCGACCUGAGAGGGUGAUCGGCCACACUGGAACUUAGACACGGUCCAGACCCCUACGGGAGGCAGCAGUAGGGAAUCUUCCGCAAUGGGCGAAAGCCUGACGGAGCAACGCCGCGUGAGUGAUGAAGGUCUUCGGAUCGUAAAACUCUGUUAUUAGGGAAGAACAAAUGUGUAAGUAACUAUGCACGUCUUGACGGUACCUAAUCAGAAAGCCACGGCUAACUACGUG